rnacentral:lncRNA from 1 species
UUAUAUUUCACUGUGGGUGAACAUCACCUGGAGUGCUUGUGAAAAUGCAGAUUCUUGGGCCUAGCCCAGCUGCACUCAAGCAGGCAUGGCAUUUUCAGUGUGUUCUAGGGAAAUGGAGGCUGGAUGUGAAAUAUUAUGUCAGUUCAUGUAAGCCCACUGUCAAGCUCAGUUGGAAGGUGUUUGAAGUGGACAUUCUAUGUGGGGGCUGUGGUGCAUGUCUGUAACCCCAAUGCAUGAGAGGCUGAGAAAGCAGGAGUGCUAAUCCGAAGCCAGUCUCACUACAUAGCAAGUUGUGGGCCAUCUUGAGCUACAUAAAGAGAUAACUAUCUCAGUAAAUCCCCGGCCUUCACCUUUGUGAUCUCCAGACAGAUAUCUAACCUACGGUAAGCACUAUUUGGUUUAAUCUACAAACAUACAAGUCACUGAGAAAAGGAAAAAAGUUUAGGUGAUGUAGCCUUAUUAACGUGGUAUCUAUUUAUAGUUUAAUUCUAUGUAAGUCAUAGAAUCUUUGAAAUUUAUCACUGGAAGGACUUAGAAAAAAGCAGUCUACUCUUUUUGAAGACUCUUGAAUAAAGAGGUGAAAAAAGGGGGGGAUCUAAAGGAUUAAUGAAAACAUUUCAGCCACUAGCUUGGAUAAUUCUCAGGUGUUUGCUCACACCUUCCCCCUUCAAGUUUAGAUGGAAUUAUCCACAAAGAACCAUUAAGUAAAUACAAUUAAUCAUAAUCAAUCAUACUCUGUCUGAAUUUGCCUACAACCACAGUUCUGAAGUGGACACAUGGUACCCAUUUGCUGGCUCUAAUUCUCUGCCAGUUCACAAAAUACUGUGUUGCUUGGUUCAGCAAAGCAUUUCAACCUCCAAUUAUAAGUGAUAUCGUAAAAAAAAUCACUGAAAUGUCCAAAUACAUGCCACCCAUCCUUGCAUAGGAAACAUUCUUUUCCAACGCACACAGUUUGCACAAAUGAUCAUGAACGCAUCAUUACUUUCCAUGUAGCAGCCCCACCAGCUCCCUUUCUUCAUUUGUAAAUGCUAACUUUGGAUUUACCCACUUAAGUAUUUACUAGAAGAUCACGACUAAGCUAAAAUAAGUGGGCUAUAUACUGAUGCCAACUUUUAAUGGAACAUAUGCAUAAAAAUACAUGAAAAAUUACCAUGUUCUCACCGCCGUUAUUUUGCUGAAAUAGAAAAGUUUAAUGAUAAGACAUAGGAAGGAACUAAUUCAAAUGAGGCACUAUCCCUGUAUUUCUGUAUUGUUGUGGGGUCAUAGUUACUCAGUCACUGUGUUAAUUACUUCUCUGUUGCUGUGACUAAGAGUAGCAAACAACCUAAGGGAGCAAGGGUUUGGCUAUUUCAGAGAUCUCCUUAUAUUGUGGUGAGAGGAGUGAAGUCCCUUAGGCAGUGAGGGCAAGAGCCCUGGUGGACCAUAAACUAGUCAUGUAGAACACAUCACCUUUCCCCUGAAUGGAUGAGUAGCUCUCCUCUUGGGCCUAGGGAGCAUGUGCAGAAUGUGUAGACUGCAUGCUAGCUCCAUCUGAAAGGAGCCCAGGAUGGAUCAACCAUACCAAAGAUGACCUCAGUGUGCCCCCACCUUCCAUCCUGAGAUAAAUGAGAGCCCUUUGCCAGGGUGCAGCAGAGGUUUGCCUCCCUUCGAGCCUCUCUCCCUCUUGGCAGUUCUUUUUCACCUUUCCCUAAUAAAUACAUUUGCUCUGCACAUUCGUGGUCUGUCUUCUCUUAUUCUUCAAUGCGCAAGAUGUGUAAUAUGAGAUCCUCUAUCUCCCUUCCUACCCCUCCUCCCCUGUCCCAUGCCUCUCUUAAGAGCAUGUGGACUUGUGGUAGUGAACUGGGAAGUCACUGACUCCUGGGGGAGGGGGUGACCUUGGUGGCUGUUGUUUAUCUGGAGCCCUAGUGAAGAGGGAAGGAACACUCUCAGACAAC